GUGAGGAAUAUUGGUCAAUGGGCGCAAGCCUGAACCAGCCAUCCCGCGUGCAGGAAGACGGCGCUAUGCGUUGUAAACUGCUUUUCCAGGGAGAGAAACUUGCGCACGUGUUGCGCAAUUGACGGUACCCUGGGAAUAAGCAUCGGCUAACUCCGUGCCAGCAGCCGCGGUAAUACGGAGGAUGCGAGCGUUAUCCGGAUUCAUUGGGUUUAAAGGGUGCGUAGGCGGACUAUUAAGUCAGUGGUGAAAUCCUGCAGCUUAACUGCAGAACUGCCAUUGAUACUGAUAGCCAUGAGUUUGGUUAAGGUAGGCGGAAUGUGUAAUGUAGCGGUGAAAUGCUUAGAUAUUACACAGAACACCAAUUGCGUAGGCAGCUUACUGAGCCGACACUGACGCUGAGGCACGAAAGCGUGGGGAUCGAACAGGAUUAGAUACCCUGGUAGUCC
rnacentral:rRNA from 1 species